rnacentral:misc_RNA from 1 species
AACUUUCAACAACGGAUCUCUUGGUUCUGGCAUCGAUGAAGAACGCAGCGAAAUGCGAUAAGUAAUGCGAAUUGCAGAAUUCAGUGAGUCAUCGAAUCUUUGAACGCAUAUUGCGCCCUUUGGUAUUCCGAAGGGCAUGCCUGUUCGAGCGUCAUUCCACCACUCAAGCAUUGCUUGGUAUUGGGCCUAUCCUUGCCGCCUUCAAUGUGCGGUGAGGUGCCUGAAAACCUGCUCUCCGGCGGCAGGAUCCCGUGGACGAGAUAUCGCCUGAGCGCUGUGGAAUUUUCAACCGCUCCGCGUGAGUCUUGACUAGGGGACCUCCUGUUAGCUGUUAAAAUAAUUCACAUCUAUGGUUUGACCUCGGAUCAGGUAAGGAUACCCGCUGAACUUAAGCAUAUCAAUAAGCGGAGGAAAAGAAACCAACAGGGAUUGCCUCAGUAACGGCGAGUGAAGCGGCAACAGCUCAAAUUUGAAAUCUGGCUCCCUUUCAGGAGUCCGAAUUGUAAUCUGCAGAGGAUGCCUCAGGGGUGACACCGGUCCAAGUUCUUUGGAACAGGACGUCGUAGAGGGUGAGAAUCCCGUACGUGGCCGGCCGUCUUUCCCCUAUGUGAGGCUCCUUCGACGAGUCGAGUUGUUUGGGAAUGCAGCUCUAAAUGGGAGGUAAAUUUCUUCUAAAGCUAAAUACUGGCCAGAGACCGAUAGCGCACAAGUAGAGUGAUCGAAAGAUGAAAAGCACUUUGGAAAGAGAGUCAAAAAGCACGUGAAAUUGUUGAAAGGGAAGCGCUUGCGACCAGACUUGACUGCAGUUGCUCAGCUUGCCGUCAGGCAGGUGCACUCUUCUGUGGGCAGGCCAGCGUCGGUUCGGGCGGUCGUUGAAAGACCCCAGGAAUGUGGCUCCCUUCGGGGAGUGUUUAUAGCCUGGGGUGGAAUGCGGUCAGCCUGGAUCGAGGUCCGCGCUCCGGCUAGGACGCUGGCGUAAUGGUCGUAAGCGACCCGUCUUGAAACACGGACCAAGGAGUCUAACAUCCACGCGAGUGUUUGGGUGUCAAACCCGUGCGCGAAAUGAAAGUGAACGGAGGUGGGAACCUUUGGGUGCACCAUCGACCGAUCCUGAUGUCUUCGGAUGGAUUUGAGUAAGAGCGUGGCUGUUGGGACCCGAAAGAUGGUGAACUAUGCCAGAAUAGGGUGAAGCCAGAGGAAACUCUGGUGGAGGCUCGCAGCGGUUCUGACGUGCAAAUCGAUCGUCAAAUUUUGGCAUAGGGGCGAAAGACUAAUCGAACCAUCUGGUAGCUGGUUCCUGC